AGUGAACGCUGGCGGUAGGCCUAACACAUGCAAGUCGAACGGCAACACAGGAGAGCUUGCUCUCUGGGUGGCGAGUGGCGGACGGGUGAGGAAUACAUCGGAAUCUACUUUUUCGUGGGGGAUAACGUAGGGAAACUUACGCUAAUACCGCAUACGACCUACGGGUGAAAGCAGGGGAUCUUCGGACCUUGCGCGAUUGAAUGAGCCGAUGUCGGAUUAGCUAGUCGGCGGGGUAAAGGCCCACCAAGGCGACGAUCCGUAGCUGGUCUGAGAGGAUGAUCAGCCACACUGGAACUGAGACACGGUCCAGACUCCUACGGGAGGCAGCAGUGGGGAAUAUUGGACAAUGGGCGCAAGCCUGAUCCAGCCAUACCGCGUGGGUGAAGAAGGCCUUCGGGUUGUAAAGCCCUUUUGUUGGGAAAGAAAUCCAGCUGGUUAAUACCCGGUUGGGAUGACGGUACCCAAAGAAUAAGCACCGGCUAACUUCGUGCCAGCAGCCGCGGUAA
rnacentral:rRNA from 1 species